CUUCUUCAAAACUUUAUCAAGGUAUGUGCUUUGUGAAAGUCCAAUUAAGCGUCUUUAUCUAUCUCUAUAGAUCUUGAUGCCCAAUAUAUAUAUAUAAGCAGCUUCACCGAGGUCUUUCAUUGAAAAACUCUUAUUCAAGUAUUCUUUUAUGCUAUCCAGAAAUUCUAUAUCAUUUCCAAUCAACAGUAUGUCAUCCACAUAUAAUCUACUACCACUAUAAAAGGAAGAGAGGUGCAGAUCCAAACAAUCACAUCCAUCCAUCAUCAAAAUCUAAUGGCUCCUAAUCGUUUCGUGUUUAACGCUGCAAGCCACGGAAUUAAGCCACGCCCACACUAUCGAUCGCUAAUCCUACCCGCUGCUUCGAAAAACAAAAACCGCUCCGCACGCCACGCCCGCACCACACCUGCACCACGACCUCGCCCGCUCCACCUCCCAGCGGACGCCGAUCCUCCCCCGUCGUCCGCCCCGUCCGCCGCCCGCCUAUCCACUCGGCCUCCGCCGCCACCCGCCGCCCUAAAUCCUCGCCCUCCUCCGCCACCGCCGCUCAGCUUGGCCUCCUCCUCCGCGCACGAGGAGGUGGAGGGUGAGCGCGGUGUCCCGGAAGGCGGCGAGGCGGAGGCGGGGGAGUAACGAGAUGGCCGCCGGGUCCUGCUUCCUUGCGGUGCGGAGGGUUGAGGUGGAGGCCAGGUUCUGCUUCAUUACGGUGCGCGCGGUCGAGGUGGAGGCGGAGACGGAAGGCGGCGAGGAGGGUCGAGGUGGCCGCCGGGUUCUGCUUCCUUGCGGCGCGCACGGUGACGCCGGCUGCUGCCCACCCCCACUCGCACUCCACAAACGCACGCCUCUCCCAAUUCAGGCCAUCCCCGAACAGCGACCACGACACCCCACCGCUGGCCCCUUCGCGACCACACUCCCCACGAUGCCUGCCGGUUCUCCGCCGCCUCGCCUAGGCCAUCUUGAAACCGCCGCAGUCGCAGCUACAGUCAGGUUACCACCACUUCCUAUUCUUGGUUCUGAUCUCUGUAUGUCCUUAGCAGUAUAUAUACAGUUGUGGUAUACUUCAAUGAACUGGGAGUUGCCCGUCUGUAGCUUCAUAGGUGUUGACAUCUGUUGCAAUUCGUAUCACAUUGAACCAGUUUUAUAUUAGUGAUCUAAAUGCUCUUAUAUUACUCCCUCCGUCCCAAAAUUCUUGUCUUACAUUUGUCUAGAUACAGAUGUAUCUAACACUAAAAUGUAACUAGAUACAUCCGUAUUUAGACAAAUCUAAGACAAGAAUUUUGGGACGGAGGGAGUAGUUUACAGAGGGAGUACCAGCUACCGAUCCAUCGCAUUUUAUCCACCAUGUCAUGCUUGCUCUCUAUGUUAUCUUCUGUUUUUGAAUGAAUUUCAUUUUGCUUGCUGCAAUAGCAGUAGACUGAUCUGUCCUCAGUUUUGAGGUUAGGCUAAUUUGAGUGAAAUGCAGUUAAAAGCAAGAAGCAGUUUUAACCAGCGAAACUGAAUAUUAUUCUCUGAAGAGACAUGCCUUCUUGAUUGACGAACAGGUUAUCCAUGUUCAGGUAAAUGUCAUGCGUCUUUUCUGAACAUUGUGGUCGUGCUCCACAAUUCAGAUACUAUUGUCAGUUAUUGUAGUGGUAUAGUGUUCAUCUACUACUACCCUUGUAAAAGCAUGAAGUUUAGAUCUUUGUGUUGUGCUGAAAUUCAUGCAUAUCUCUUUAUACUGGGUUAUUUGAUAAGUUGUGCUAUUUAUGUUGAAAUAAUAUGAAAUUAUAUGCAAAGCUCUAGAACUGCCUUGAGUAGGUGAUAGUUAAGAAGAACAUAGUAUGUGAUGGUCCAAUGAGGAAGAAAUAUAAGUCGACAAUGCUGCUGAUGGGUGGCACUGAUAGUCCCAACGCCUUUGCUCUUGGAUCAUUAUUCAAGCUUAUUUUUUCCUACAACAAGAAAGAGGAUGCUGAAGGAGGUAUUGCAACUAGAAAGGAUAGAAAGGCAGCUUUGGAGAGGGGUCGCAAAGAUCAAGGCUAUUGUGUCAAGUACUGUGCUCAAAACGUCCAUCGGGUGCAUCCAUCUCGCCCCAUUUCAUCAUCGAUCACCAAGCGAUUUACAUCCACUGCGAUCAUGGAUGACCCUGUGAGACAUGCCGCCCUAUUCUUCCAGAUACAAUGGGUCGAUUAAUACGGUAUUUUGAUAUGCUAAUCACGCUUCCGUUUCACUAAAUUUCCAGAACAAUACUACUUACCUUCUACUAAUAUUGUUCUGUCAACUGCAAAAAUCAGAAUUAUCGCAACAUUUUCGUGAUCUGUAUUCCAGCUUUUAGUAUAUGGUUUGUUUUAGAAGCAGAUAAGUGCUGAAGGGUCGUAUAUAGGAAUACUUGUUAUGCACGUCUAUCUACACUCUUCUCAGCCUAGAAAUCAUUAUGUGCUUGCUGACUUGUUUUGCUCAUAUUGCCGCUGAAACUGUGAGCGGUCCUUGCAUGUCUUGUGUAUUCAUUGAAAGCGUCUAAAAUAUGGAGUUGCAACAUGGCUGCUAGCUGCUACUUUCAUGUUAACAGAAGAAGGCCAAAGCUCUCAUUUUCUAGAUAUGUCGAGUUUAAAUAUGAAGGAUAUUUUAAGAACGGAAUUUUCAGCAUCAUAUAUCUAUAGCAAUUGUGUUCUAAAACGGAAUUGUUGGCUCCUAAUAAUAGUGUACUGAAUUCUCUCAAGUCCUUCCAGCUUUAGGGACUGCUCAAUUGGAUCUGCACAAUCCAACAAAAUAAAUGUGCAUAGUGUCUGCGACACUUUCUUCGGAUCAUCACGAAGGUAGUUGUAGGAGUAAAAAAGUACGUCAUACUGUUUUUUCAGUACAAGCCAGAGACUGUUGAGAAAGAAAGGCUAGGACAUGUAAUACUUGUUUUUACAGUACUUGUGCAAAAAGUAUGUCAUACUGUUUUGUUCUAGAUGAUUUUGAUGAAUUUUACAACCUUCUUUUCAGUCGUAUACCCCAAGAAAAUUUGCUUUCAUGGGGCUUAUUUAAUCCAAGAACUGUGAGUAGUAGCGAACCAGACAUGAAAAGUUUCAGAGAACUACGAAAACUCCGGUCAGUUUUGUCAGGAUCUUGUGACCCAAUUCCAGGACUCUAUUGGCUAAGGUAAUUAAUGAUAUAUCUGUGUGAUUUAUCCUGUUAAAACUUUUAGUGUUCACUUAGGGGUGAGUGCAACUAGUAACUAAAUUUAGACUACGAACUAGAGUAGGACAGUAAAAUCAGGAGCAGGAUGGAGAACACAUGGGACAUUGAGGACUAAUGGUCAACACUUAAAUCUUGCUUUACAUUCAGUUCAGUUCCAAGUAGUCUGAUACAUAGAUGGAGACGCGAGUGCUGAUUUGGGGUUGAUUUGGUAAUUAUAUAUUUUCCUUGAUGACUGUCAUUUUGUUGUCCUACAUGUGCCAUAUGAUAUGCAUAACAACUUGAGAGCACCUUUGCUGCUCUUGAUGUGCUUCGUCAUGCAGUUUUUUAAAGUGCACAAGCAAGCUUGCGAGUGAUGACAACUACUAUGACCUACAAACCUUGAAUCAAGUUUUUUGGGGUUGAACAUAGGGCACAGCGCGCUCUCCCAUCUACCCAGUGAAGCGUAUGAAAGAAAAAGCUACAAUAUACAAAUCAUCACCGUCAUUCAGUUUGUCCAAAACUAAGAAAAGCUCUUUAAAAAAACUGGGAAAAGCUCACAUGAUGGAAUGAGAUGAGAUUUCAAUAUCAUGAUUGUGUUUUAUAAUUUGAAUGACCAAAGUAGAUGAUCCAGUCAGCCCGUGUUUGACAAUAUGAAGGGACAAGCUUGUUGAUCCAUUAUCUGGCCAGGAAAAUACAAUAAUUCGGAGGGCUUAGGUAUGGAUAAUAGAUCUGACCUACUCUAGCAAGGUGAGUGACUCAAUUGCACAUGUGCAAAAUGGAAGUUUAAACUUACUUGAAUCUCUUGUAGGGUUUGGGGGAGAUUGUCAGCGAGCCACUGAUGAAAGUCCUUUUGCAAUGACAAUGAUAGAGAAGAUUUGAAAGAUCUCGCUUGGCGUGGGGUAACUUGUGUACUCCUGGAUGGAGGCGCCGUCCGGUGGCAGUGGGGUGUGGCAGUUGCCACAGCUGGGCACAGCCGGGAGGCGUUGGUGUCACCAUUGUGCUACAUCACACAUUUUUCUCGCGGCGAUUGUGUUACUGUUGUUGUUAUCAACAACCUACCAUGACGGUCCGGGAGGUGAUGAAAGUUAGCUGCAGAGGCUACACUCAGAUAUAUGAUCUUUGCGGUGAAGAAAAACAUGAACAAUAAUGCAACUAUCCCCUUUAAUGGGAUUAUUCCAUCAUUGGUUAUCUGAUUUAAUCAGAACAGGAAUGCACCUGCUAUGUGACUGACACAAAAAUUAUUGGAGGAAGUUUGCUCUCA